CCUACGGGAGGCAGCAGUGGGGAAUUUUGGACAAUGGACGCAAGUCUGAUCCAGCAAUGCCGCGUGCAGGACGAAGGCCUUCGGGUUGUAAACUGCUUUUGUACGGAACGAAACGGUCUGCUUUAAUACAGUGGGCUAAUGACGGUACCGUAAGAAUAAGCACCGGCUAACUACGUGCCAGCAGCCGCGGUAAUACGUAGGGUGCGAGCGUUAAUCGGAAUUACUGGGCGUAAAGCGUGCGCAGGCGGUUAUAUAAGUCAGAUGUGAAAUCCCCGGGCUCAACCUGGGACCUGCAUUUGAGACUGUAUAGCUAGAGUACGGUAGAGGGGGAUGGAAUUCCGCGUGUAGCAGUGAAAUGCGUAGAUAUGCGGAGGAACACCAAUGGCGAAGGCAAUCCCCUGGACCUGUACUGACGCUCAUGCACGAAAGCGUGGGGAGCAAACAGGAUUAGAUACCCUGGUAGUCCACGCCCUAAACGAUGUCAACUGGUUGUUGGGUCUUCACUGACUCAGUAACGAAGCUAACGCGUGAAAGUUGACCGCCUGGGGAGUAACGGCCGCAAGGUUGAAACUUCAAAGGAAUUGACGG
rnacentral:rRNA from 1 species